AUUCAUUGGUACGGUGAGUAGUCUGUAGAAAACGUUUAAUUACAGAAUAUUGUCUAGUUAGUAAUCACAGCGUGAUUGUAAUGAUCCUGUGUUUUGGUUUCUUUUAGAUGGGCAGAAGUGGAAACACCCAGAAGGAAAAAAAUUAAACGCAUUCUAGACUCAGAUGAUGAAAGUCCCACCAGCACUGACCGUGUAGUAGCUCCAGCAAUGUCAAAUACAAAGGAGUCUAUGCUUCCCAAACAGCCCAGUUCCUCUCCUGUGCCUGAAAAAACAAGGCCGUGUGAAAAACUCAAUCCAUCAACCACAGAAGCUGACGAUGAUGACACAGACAUUGAUUCAGAUGAUUCUCAGAGUUUGUUACAACCAGAAAUGUACCAUAUCACAGUUCCAUGUAGCAUUCUUAUGGACUCUGGACCCUCAGCAGAAUCAGAGUACAGUCUAGAACCUUCUUCACCUGCCGGUGCAGCCCCAGCAGCUAUGUGCACCUCACCUGGGUCUGUCGCGGCCCCUGAACUAGAGGAAACACCAUCCACAAGCAGAACUUCUCCACCGCCCAGAGCUCAAACCACUGACCCUACGCCUAACCAGGACCGUGCCAGCGAUGGUCCCACAGGUCAGCCCGGAUCACCCCCGCAUUCAAGCCCCACUGUUGACGUUUUAGCAGUGUCAAUAUCUGCAGUACAAACACUCUCACUCUUAGUACAAGCAUCUCACUUAAAAUCUGAGCAGCUACCAGAACCUUCUCCUCCGGCAGGGGUUUCUUCAUCACCAGGUCGUCCCGCUGCAGCAGAUGCUUCUGAUGUGGGUACCACAGAGAAAUCCCAGUCCAGUGCUGCCAUAUUCUGGACCAGAUGUAAUGAGGCUGGGUGGACUAAAGAAGUCUUCUCAGAGCUCGUGUCUCAGCUGAGCAGCCUAGGAGAAAGAGUGCUGUCACAGGAAGCCUGCCACCAAGACUAUGAUGUUGCUCUCAAAGUAUUGUUGGCAUCUGGACAGCUGCCUUGCAUUUUUACUCAGCUGGAACAAGACCUGGAGAAACAGGAAAGGGAUUUGCAGAGGAAAAAAGCAGCAUUGAGGGAUGCCAAAGCUGUACUAGAUGUUUAAUAUAACAAUCUAACAGAAUUAAGAUGUUUUAUCGUUUUUAAAAAUGUUUUUUUAAAGUCCAGAACAUUUCUGCAGUUUGCAUACAUCAGAUGGUUUUGAUCAGACAUUUUUUACAUCAGUAAUAGAAAUCUCAUGAAAUAUAUCUACA
rnacentral:lncRNA from 1 species